CUAAGUUUUUCUUAAGGAAAAGAACUUUCAGAAGGUAAGCAAGAAAAACACUUGAGUGCCAGGAAAUGAGAACAUAUUCAGCAAAAUGAACACCUUGAUAUAAAUGAUACCCAAACAGUCUUUCCUGGCUUUCAUGUGAUCUAUUAUGAGAGAUCUGACUGGCAGCUAUUUCCACAAUUAAUUGAUCCUGGAAAAUUUGGCAAGCUUUACUCUUCUCCAGUUCAAGAAUUGGACAACUGCUCACUUUUAUCCACGUUUUCCAUCCAGCCCUGGAGCCAGGUGACCUGACCUAUAUGAACUGCUUCAAGAGUUUCGUUUGCCUUCUGACUUCAGGAUGGAUGUAGUCAACGGCAGUGGGAAGAUCCACAGGUAGGUGGAGAAGGGAAGCAGGUACUUAUUCUCUCAGCUUCUUUGCUGCUGCACAGGGAUGCUCCGAACCUAACCAGAGGCCGUUAGUCUUUGUGCUUAGAGGUACUAACUGGUCAUUGAGGUUGUGAACCCCAGGAAAACUCAGCAUCAUUUGUUACCUUCUAUAAUCUCUGGCUGCACAUUGUGGACAGCCCUUUUUACUAAAUCUCCUCCGAUUAUCCAAUUCUACUUUUCCUUCUGAUUCUUGCUGCUGCGGGGAGCGGCCUGAACCAAAAGGCUGGCUCUGGGAGCUGCCUUGAUCCUCAAGGGUCUGUUCGCAGACAUAGCUCUCUGUCCCGCCACCCCUCUGGCAUUUAUUGUCCAAGUUAAAUCUUAACAGAACAUUUAGUAAGCCUUGAAUGCACACAUGAUGCAGAUAGAUAGCUUUGCACGACUGCCCUUAAGAUAAAUAGGAUGGCUUUCUUAUCCCUUGGCGCCAUGAGAGAGCUCUGGUGAUUGUUAUCUUGAAGAUGAUGUACAUGGGGAAGAAUUUUCUUUGGGAUGCCUCCUUCUUGGUUUAGUAUAAAUGAAGCUUAGAAGAAUAAAGAAUCAUCGCUGACUGCAGCGAUCCUCUCGACCCCAUCUGUUCUGUGUCUUUAUUUCUUAGCCUAAAGGAACGCCCUGGCGUUGCUCCUUGAAAUCUUCCGGCCGCCGGCAUGCCAGGAUAUUGAAUGAUACAAUGUAAAAGGUUAAGUGCCUUAUUUGAUGCACCCUGACAUUUUCCUUUCUUGUAGCCAAUUUGCUUUUCACCUUAAUGCUUAAAGAACUCUUUAUAUUUAAAGUUGAAUAAUUUGGGUAUUUCUAGUUGUGGAGUAUAUCUUAGUAAAUUUGACUCAAAUGAAAUCUAGAGGCUUAUCUUUUUUCCCCUAUAGGUAAUCACGUUUAUUCCAUCUUUUAUAGUCUUCUGAUCCAUUUUUUGUGCACUUUACAUUUGGGACACCAAUUAUCCUCAUGUUAAAUCAUUUCUAUCCUCUAUUUUGUGGACUUCGUAUUUACUUUCAUUCUUUUCUUUUUCAACUGC
rnacentral:lncRNA from 1 species